rnacentral:rRNA from 1 species
GACGAACCGUGCGAACGUUGUUCGGAAUCACUGGGCUUAAAGGGCGCGUAGGCGGGCUUGCCGGUCCGGGGUGAAAGCCCCCAGCUCAACUGGGGAAGCGCCUUGGAUACCGCAAGCCUGGAGGGAGGUAGGGGCGUGCGGAACUUCCGGUGGAGCGGUGAAAUGCGGUAGAUAUCGGGAAGGAACACCGGUGGCGAAAGCGGCGCGCUGGACCUCUUCUGA